rnacentral:rRNA from 1 species
UUAAAAAGCUCGUAGUCGGAUUUUGGCUGAGAACGGUCGGUCCGCCGUUAGGUGUGCACUGACUGGUCUCAGCUUCCUGGUGAGGAGGUGUGCUUCAUCGCCACUUAGUCACCGUGGUUACUUUGAAAAAAUUAGAGUGUUCAAAGCGGGCUUACGCUUGAAUAUAUUAGCAUGGAAUAACACCAUAGGACUCCUGUCCUAUUUCGUUGGUCCCGGGACGGGAGUAAUGAUUAAGAGGAACAGUUGGGGGCAUUCGUAUUUCAUCGUCAGAGGUGAAAUUCUUGGAUUUAUGAAAGACGAACUUCUGCGAAAGCAUUUGCCAAGGAUGUUUUCAUUGAUCAAGAACGAAAGUUGGGGGCUCGAAGAUGAUUAGAUACCAUCCUAGUCUCAACCAUAAACGAUGCCGACUAGGGAUUGGCGGAUGUUAAUUGAUGACUUCGCCAGCACCUUAUGAGAAAUCAAAGUUUUUGGGUUCCGGGGGGAGUAUGGUCGCAAGGCUGAAACUUAAAGGAAUUGACGGUAGGGCACCACCAGGCGUGGAGCCUGCGGCUUAAUUUGACUCAACACGGGGAAACUUACCAGGUCCAGACAUAGUAAGGAUUGACAGAUUGAGAGCUC